UAGGGAAUCUUCCGCAAUGGGCGAAAGCCUGACGGAGCAACGCCGCGUGAGUGAUGAAGGUCUUCGGAUCGUAAAACUCUGUUAUUAGGGAAGAACAAAUGUGUAAGUAACUAUGCACGUCUUGACGGUACCUAAUCAGAAAGCCACGGCUAACUACGUGCCAGCAGCCGCGGUAAUACGUAGGUGGCAAGAGUUAUCCGGAAUUAUUGGGCGUAAAGCGCGCGUAGGCGGUGUUUUAAGUCUGAUGUGAAAGCCCACGGCUCAACCGUGGAGGGUCAUUGGAAACUGGAAAACUUGAGUGCAGAAGAGGAAAGUGGAUUUCCAUGUGUAGCGGUGAAAUGCGCAGAGAUAUGGAGGAACACCAGUGGCGAAGGCGACUUUCUGGUCUGUAACUGACGCUGGUGUGCGAGAGCGUGGGGAUCAAACAGG
rnacentral:rRNA from 1 species